AGGGAGUUGGCCGAGUGGUUAUGGCGCUAGGUUUAGGCUUAUGUAAUCACCCGCGGGACGAUGACAACAAGCAAAUCCCUAGUUUCGAAAGAUUCGCGUGUUCGAAUCACGCACUCCCUA